UGAGGAAUAUUGCGCAAUGGGGGAAACCCUGACGCAGCGACGCCGCGUGGGUGAUGAAGGCCUUCGGGUUGUAAAGCCCUGUUGGAGGGGAAGAAAGGGCGUGUAGCUAAUAUCUGCACGCAUUGACGGUACCCUCUGUGGAAGCACCGGCUAACUCCGUGCCAGCAGCCGCGGUAAUACGGAGGGUGGGAGUGUUAGUCGGAAUUACUGGGCGUAACGAGCACGUCGGCGGAUAGACAAGUCAGAUGUGAAAGCCCGGAGCUUAACUCCGGAA
rnacentral:rRNA from 1 species